GGGUCUAUACCGGAUAGGACCACGGCCUGCACGGGUUGUGGUGGAAAGUUUUUGACGGUGUGGGAUGGGCCCGCGGCCUAUCAGCUUGUUGGUGGGGUGAUGGCUUACCAAGGCGACGACGGGUAGCCGGCCUGAGAGGGUGUCCGGCCACACUGGGACUGAGAUACGGCCCAGACUCCUACGGGAGGCAGCAGUGGGGAAUAUUGCACAAUGGGCGCAAGCCUGAUGCAGCGACGCCGCGUGGGGGAUGACGGCCUUCGGGUUGUAUACCUCUUUCACCAUCGACGAAGGCCCGGCUUUUGUCGGGUUGACGGUAGGUGGAGAAGAAGCACCGGCCAACUACGUGCCAGCAGCCGCGGUAAUACGUAGGGUGCGAGCGUUGUCCGGAAUUACUGGGCGUAAAGAGCUCGUAGGUGGUUUGUCGCGUUGUUCGUGAAAUUCCCUGGCUUAACUGGGGGCGUGCGGGCGAUACGGGCAGACUGGAGUACUGCAGGGGAGACUGGAAUUCCUGGUGUAGCGGUGGAAUGCGCAGAUAUCAGGAGGAACACCGGUGGCGAAGGCGGGUCUCUGGGCAGUAACUGACGCUGAGGAGCGAAAGCGUGGGGAGCGAACAGGAUUAGAUACCCUGGUAGUCCACGCCGUAAACGGUGGGUACUAGGUGUGGGUUUCCUUCCUUGGGAUCCGUGCCGUAGCUAACGCAUUAAGUACCCCGCC
rnacentral:rRNA from 1 species